AUUUUUUAUUUUUUUUAAUGUAGAAUUACAUUUGCAUUUCAUUAUUCAAAAAUUAAAUUCAACAAAAUGAUUCUAAUAUUUUAUUAUCAUUAUAAAAUCCAAGUAAUUGCAGCGUUAUAGCCUACGAAAGAAGAAUUAGAGACACCAUGGUACACAACUCUUUCACUACUAGUUGACAAUUUAGAUGCAUUGUGAAUGGAGAAUUAGAAAAUAUAGCAUAACAAAUUUCGGAUAGCAUCUAUGUGCAACAAACGACCAUUCCUGGCACUUCAGGAACUUCAAUUGGAGUUGGGCCUAGUUCUGCUUCCGGUGGCUCCAACUAUGUAACUUAAGACCAAUUGGAAGAAAUGCUGGGUAUGUACAGGAAACGUAUAAUAUCAUAUGUCUCUGAUCUAUGUGACAACUUGAAGGCACAAGUCAUUGAGAACCAAACAAGCUGUUUGAACAACACAAAAAAUGGUAGGAAAAUUAUAUGCAUUCUUAGAUGGAUAAUUAACUAUCAAGUUUGUUUAACACAUAUAUUGCUGAGGAAUCGCAAAAACAAGAAGCUCACUAUCAAGUUAUUCUUGAGAACUAGAAACAGUUAUUCCAAUAUCAACAAAAAUGGCAAGAGGAUUAUUAUUAGGGCAUGCAAUCUUAUAUUGAUACCAGUUUAAGUUCGCUGAGAUUUCAUGUUGAUGAACAAAAUAAGAAUAUGCUGAACAAAUUAUCCGACUGGGAAUCAAACAUGGAAGGCAUUACAGGUUCUAUGCAACAAGAUGUUCUUCCCUGUGCAAGUCCAAUUCUUAGUGAUCAACCAUAUGAGACUUCUACAUCUCAACAAAUUGAAAGUUUUGAAAGGUUGAGAAAUGAAAAAUAAGGGAAAACACAUACAAUCUUCGUCAUUUACAGGUUAUCCUUUAGAAGACUAUCUAAUGGACAAGUACAAAACAAUUAGAGAUUGGGCAUUGAAGAAUCUAUCGACGUAACAAAUCUAAUUCUACUGCAUUAGCCCAAAUACUAAAAUUGUCUUUUCGAUUUAUUCAAUACUAAUCUAAAUUAUGUUACACAUUGCAUAUUGGGAUGAUGACAGUAGUAUUGUCUGUGGAAGAGAUAUGUCGAAAACUUUAAUAGAUCCAACAAAAGAUAUGAAUAUUACGGUGAGUAAAGUUUAACAAUCACAGUCAAUUUUAUUUCAUACUUAAUAUAUCUAAUAUAAUUUAUAUCUUUUUAUUCUAUUAGAAUAUUGAGUUGGAGUUAAUGUUAUUGAGACAGCUCAUUAAUGAUGGUUGCACCCUUGUUUCUAAAGAAUAUGUAAUUAUAGAUUUUAAAUUUGAAGAGUGUGCUCGUCGGAUGAUGAAGUAAGUUGACACGCAAAUGGGAACCACCAAAGGUCAAGCGAAUGGAACUCCCUUACAAGAGUACAUGAAUGGCAGAUUGCCUGUAGCUGGUCGUUCAUGGAUAGGGUGCAAAUAUCUAUUAAUUCCAUGCUCAUAUCUAGGCAAUAAUUGAUAUCUUUUUCAUGUCAAUAUUCUUGAAUGAAAAUUUCAUAUAUAUGACUGCAGCGAUAAUGUUCACACACUAGAACAAGUCAAGGAACACACAAAAGCAACAUUCAGUUUGGUUCAAGUAUUAUUUUUGUCUUCAGUCAUUUCCACCAUAAACAUAGAAGUAAACAGAUGGAGCAGGAGAUUAUAUCUUAUCUACCAUGAGUAAACAAUUGGUGAGCAUUUAAACAGCUUGUUAUUUACUAUAAUAUUUAAUUUGUUGUAUAUACUAAUUUAGUCUAACAUAAAAUUAUUUGUUAUACAGGCCAAAUCGUGUAAUUUUUGUACUCAAAUAUAUAGAAUGUUUUGUUCUAGGACAUCCAAUAGAAUCAAUUUUAUCAGACAGUAUGACUAUAUACAGACGGAAGAUUGCAGUAGAUCUUUGCUAUAAUGAUUUUUUUUCUUCAUCCCCAUUUGUCCUGACUGUAAUGAAUGAUUGUAAUAGAUGAUAAGAGUACGUUUACUCGAAUGUUAUGUAACAAGCUUAUGUGUUUUUUU
rnacentral:lncRNA from 1 species